rnacentral:rRNA from 1 species
AACUGGAGGAAGGUGGGGAUGACGUCAAGUCAUCAUGGCCCUUACGAGUAGGGCUACACACGUGCUACAAUGGCGCAUACAAAGAGAAGCGACCUCGCGAGAGCAAGCGGACCUCAUAAAGUGCGUCGUAGUCCGGAUUGGAGUCUGCAACUCGACUCCAUGAAGUCGGAAUCGCUAGUAAUCGUGGAUCAGAAUGCCACGGUGAAUACGUUCCCGGGCCUUGUACACACCGCCCGUCACACCAUGGGAGUGGGUUGCAAAAGAAGUAGGUAGCUUAACCUUCGGGAGGGCGCUUACCACUUUGUGAUUCAUGACUGGGGUGAAGUCGUAACAAGGUAACCGUAGGGGAACCUGCGGUUGGAUCACCUCCUU